AGAGAGAGCCCAGUGUCUUUCUUCACUCUUUAUUGUGUAAAAAUAAACUCAACAAUUCAUGUAAUUUGAGCAAUAAAAUGGAAAAAGCAUGAAUACCAGUAGAAACAGUGCAUUUUCCAAACUGCUGAUGUGGACUGUGGGGAAGUGUCGAACCCAUUCAAAACCCAAGAAGACUGAGAGCAAGUCAUAGGAAAAAUGUACAGCUUUGGUUAGCAAAAUAAUGACAAAGUAAGAUACAUUUAUUCUCUCCCCUACUGUACAAUAUAUACACAUCAGAGCAGUAUCACACUGGUUUGUUUGUUGUUGGGGUUCUUCUCUUUUUUUGGCAAAUCAGACACAAUUGGGACUGCGGAUUAAUUACGUGUCCAGUGAGUCGUUGCUGUUCCCCACCCCCUCGGCAGAUUGUGCUUAAGUCACUGUUGGCUGAAGCGAACUGGUCCUAAUAAGUAACUUAGCAAAUUGAACUCACAACGUGUUGUAAAAAGAGCACGGGUCAAACGCGCUGCCCUGAGCCGCAGCUUGGUGCCAGGGGAACUCGCCUGGCUGUGUGUGUGCGCGUGCGUGCGUGUGCACGCGUGUGUGCACGGGGGAGGGGGCUGUGCUUGCAAACCGCGGCUCACAUGCUCAGCGCUGUCGCUGCCUGGCUCGGAUCAGCUGGAUAGAGCAGCUCCGACCUUGAACUGCUUAUUACAUGCCCGUCCACCUUGCAUAUUUGCCACAUCUUCGGAGUUGGUCGUAAGGGCUCUGCUAAGCCUCUGUGAAUUAUCUCCCUGCCCACCCGCCCCGCGCCCCCCGGGACAACCCUGGCCGGCCUGCCGCCGAGGGGGUCGGGGCGGGCUGCUGCGCCCUCCCAGUACAAACCAAGAGCUUUAAAAAAGAAAACCAUACAAAAAUGUGUCUAUUAUUUCAAAAUAGGUUUCUUUCUACCGCUUCCCCUCACCCUUAGAAUAUUUUAAAGUAUCUUUCAGGGAGCAUCAGUGCCUCUUAUACGCUUUCUUACUUCUUCUGCUUCAUAAAAAUACCUUUUUCUUGGUAGCAAACUUCCUUUUACAGUAAGAGAAAUCAUCAUCAUCAUCACAUAGUGCGUUAUCAAAA